GACGAAGGAUGCAAGCGUUAUCCGGAUUCAUUGGGUUUAAAGGGUGCGUAGGCGGACUUGUAAGUCAGUGGUGAAAUCUCUCAGCUUAACUGAGAAACUGCCAUUGAUACUGCAGGUCUAGAGUACAGAUGAUGUGGGCGGAAUAUGACAUGUAGUGGUGAAAUACUUAGAUAUGUCAUAGAACACCGAUUGCGAAGGCAGCUCACAAAACUGUAACUGACGCUGAGGCACGAAAGUGCGGGGAUCAAAC
rnacentral:rRNA from 1 species